UACGAAGGGGGCUAGCGUUGCUCGGAAUGACUGGGCGUAAAGGGCGCGUAGGCGGCGGUCACAGUCAGAUGUGAAAUUCCUGGGCUUAACCUGGGGGCUGCAUUUGAUACGUGGUUGCUUGAGUGGGGAAGAGGGUCGUGGAAUUCCCAGUGUAGAGGUGAAAUUCGUAGAUAUUGGGAAGAACACCAGUGGCGAAGGCGGCUCACUGGACCGGUAUUGACGCUGAGGUGCGAAAGCGUGGGGAGCAAACAGG
rnacentral:rRNA from 1 species